rnacentral:rRNA from 1 species
UACGUAGGGUGCGAGCGUUAAUCGGAAUUACUGGGCGUAAAGCGUGCGCAGGCGGUUCGUUGUGUCCGAUGUGAAAGCCCCGAGCUCAACUUGGGAAUGGCAUUGGAAACUGGCGGGCUGGAGUGUGGCAGAGGGGGGUGGAAUUCCACGGUGUAGCAGUGAAAUGCGUAGAGAUGUGGAGGAACACCGAUGGCGAAGGCAGCCCCUGGGCCAACACUGACGCCUCAGGCACGAAAGCGUGGGGAGCAAACAGG